rnacentral:rRNA from 1 species
CCUACGGGAGGCAGCAGUGGGGAAUAUUGGGCAAUGGGCGCAAGCCUGACCCAGCAACGCCGCGUGAAGGAAGAAGGCUUUCGGGUUGUAAACUUCUCUUAAGAGGGAAGAGCAGAAGACGGUACCUCUUGAAUAAGCCACGGCUAACUACGUGCCAGCAGCCGCGGUAAUACGUAGGUGGCAAGCGUUGUCCGGAUUUACUGGGGGUAAAGGGCGUGCAGCCGGGAAGACAAGUCAGAUGUGAAAUCCCGCGGCUCAACCGCGGAACUGCAUUUGAAACUGUUUUUCUUGAGUACCGGAGAGGUCAUCGGAAUGCCUUGUGUAGCGGUGAAAUGCGUAGAUAUAAGGAAGAACACCAGUGGCGAAGGCGGAUGACUGGACGGCAACUGACGGUGAGGCGCGAAAGCGUGGGGAGCAAACAGGAUUAGAUACCCGAGUAGUC